CCGCGGUGGCCGCUGCCGCCGGGGCGCGGGCCGCGGGGAGGCGCCGCUCCCGGAGCUCCGGUUACCGUAGGCGACCGGGCCGGCCUAUGCGGGGUGGGCGCCGGCGGGGUCGGCGCGGCGGGACCCGACGGCGAGCGCCGACCCGGCCGGGCCUGAGCCGCGCCGCCCCCGUCCCGCCCGGCGGCAGCGGUUUCCCGCUUCGCGCGCACGCGGAGCAGCUUCCCGGCUCGGGAGAACGGCUGCAGGCACCGGGGCGCGGGCACCCCUCUUCCCGGUCGGCGCGGGCACACACACACCCCCUUGCAAGCCGCAGAUUUUCUGAGCAUUUAAGGUAUUCUUCCCGCAUCCAUUCAACCUCCUUCUCCGAGAGAAAGAGAAAGAGAGCGUUAAGAUUAAGGGAAAAAUAACUGCACCCUGCAGAGACAGCAGCGAGGGGACCCGGACCGGCGCGGGGGAGGGGCGCGCAGACGGCCCCCCCGCCCCCCAUCCUGCGUAGCCUGGGUCGCCUCGGCCAGGCCGGAAAGACCCCAGGGCCUCGGAUCUAGCCCCUCCUCGGCGGAUGGAGACCAGCAAAAAGGCCGCGCAGUCACCCAGCCGCACUCUGAAAAGCCGGUGUCUAGACAUGAGAACCAGAGUUGUCUUUUCCUCCUCGAGCUGCUUUAGAAUCCGGGGAUCGGCAUCUCCGGGCCCCUAAAAGUUGGGCAUGAGGAUUUGUCUCCAAGACCCGCCAUGUGCUUCCCCUCGUUCUGUGUCGUAGCCCUGAGAGGAUCCCCAGGUGUGAAAGGCCUUGGCUCCUUGCUGUCUCGCUCCCACCUCUGUGUCCUCUCUCACCCCAGCGUUCCCUUAAGUCUAGUGGCUUUUUUUUUUCCUCCUUCUCUCAAUACUGUUUCAAAAUAGUUGUUACAGCAAAUAGCUGCCGACGCGCCUCUGGAUGCCACCAGAGGCUGGCAGCUGCCCAGCGCGGGCGCACAGCCCCCGGCAGUUCCCUGAGACCAAAAUAAGCUCCCGUGUUCCUCUCACAGGGCUCGGCCUCCCGGGCGGGCCCGGGCAUGUCUGGCUGGGCUCGCUAUCUGCUCCGAGCAAACCAUCCUGGUUUCCGACUUGACUUCCUGCUGUCCGAAACUAACAAAUGUUUUUAAUUUUAGAAGUCCAUGGCGUGAGGAUCAGGGUCCUUCCAGAGCAGCAGUUCCCAAGCCUCCUGAUGCUCUGACCCUCCAACACAGUCCGUCAUGUGGCGGUGACCCCAACCAUAAGAUUAUUUUCGUUGCUGCUGCUUAACUGUAAUUUUGCUGCUGUUCUGAAUUAUAAUUUAAAUAUUUUUGGAGAUAGAGGUUUGCCAAAGGGGUCAUGGCCAAUAGGUUGAGAACUGCUGGAUCUAGGUGGGACGGACUGGUGAGGGUUAGAGGGGAGAGGAGACAGGAUUAUAAGCCAUAGCUGAGUCUCUGCUGAAGUUUUACAGAAUUGUAGCUUAUGAAGGCUGCAGCCACAGACGGACGGCCGCUGGCCCAGAGCACAAUCGCCCCGGAGGCAUGGGCACCUCCACAGCCUGGCAGACACCUUCACGGUUUCCUCUCAGCUAGGGAUGCCCCACAUGGCCAGCUGUGCCACUCACAUCACACUUGACCAAGCAAUAGCACGUGUGCCAGGGAACACUUCUGCCGCUCUGAGUGUGUGCUCACUCUACAUGCGUGUUCCGUGGGCUCACACAUCUUGUGUGUAUGCCCCAAAACAAGCACAUAUGUGAGUCUCGUGUCCCAGUAACCAUGUUCACGUGUAUAUAAAAGGGCAAGUGCUCGCCUGGCUUCUCCUUGGAUCUCCUGGUCCUCCUGCGGAAGGAGAGCGCUGACUGCCGUGAGUUUUGCUGACCAUAUUCACACUCAGGCCGUGGGUACAGGCAUGCGGGCACACAUAAAAAUAAAUAAACGUAAUUUAAAAAGACAGUUUGGAUCUCACAACACUGAAACUCAUCGCACAGGCACAGGCACUCUUAAUUACAACGACUGAACUGUAGUGGAGCAACCCAUUACCCACAGACCCUGGUGCCUUCUCCAGCGCUAGCGCCUGCCCUGCCAGGCUGGAGGCAGGCCUGGGCCUCCCAGCUCCCAGAUGACCCAGAGCCUACUGUGUGAACUCACUGAAUAAAUAAUCACUUUUUAAUACGGGGGGGGGGUGUAUCUCCAGUUACAUAAAAUUGUAAAUGCCUACUUGGGCCCGAGAACAGUGGCACGGCGCUGCACGGCGCUGUGGGGUAAUUGUGUGUUGGGUGUCUCCAUUGUUCCCUGGGCCAUUAGUCAAAGGGCAAAUUAGAAACAAUUUCUUGACGACAAAAAAAAAAAGAGACUUAAUUCUUCCCACCAGAAGUGAGAGGGACAGGUCCAGGGGCCAGGCCCACGCUGCAGCCUGUGAGCAGCAGCCCUGGGCCUGCAGGGAGGGGACCCAGCAGGAGCAGGAGCAGGCUUUCCACCUGGCCGGAACAAUAGCGUGCAGGUUGGAUGGUGCUGGGGAAGGCCAGGCCGGAAAGACUGGGCAGGGGCUGAUGUCCUCCCUCCGUCCAGAAUUGGGAUCUGACAGGCUAGCUGGGACAUUUACAUGUUACCUAGCCGCCUCCUCAAAGGGCUAAAACCCAAAAGCUGCCCCAUGGAACUUGUUGGGAAAGGAAGUCCCGAUCUCUGAUCUUCGUGGCAGGGUCUUUCCAGGAGCACCACCGAGGCCCUGGAAGGAGUACUGUGCAGAAAAAUCUGAGUGUGGCCACGGGCUCGGGUUCUCUGAGCCUGGAAGUAGGGGCAGUCCUCUCUUAGAUGGGACUUCUGGCUUUGAGACGUGAGAUUUGUGCACAGGCUUGAUUGGAAGGGAGUGGGGGUGCCCCAUCACAAAGUAAACAGACGUCUCCCCUAAAGACCAGAACUUUCAGACAGCCCGUUUCUUUAGUGGGCACAGACUUGGGGGAAGGGUGCUGUACUGCUCUCGGGGUAUGCCAGUCCUCAGCUCCUGCCCCUCCUAACUGGAGUCUGGGCUGAGGCCCAGGUAAGGGGCAAAACGCAGAAGCAGGAAAGGAAAGACUGCAGUGUGCUAGGAGCCCUCUGUUCUCCACACACCUCUGGAGGCCUGGCUGUGCCCCUAGCCAGCACCCUUCCCAAGGCAUUUCUCAGACACAGCUCCAAACCAAGCCUGGAGCUUUGCUGAGCUGAAGCUGGCUCAAACGGGAGAGACCCCUGUGGGAGGCACAGGUUUUCCCUUCAAGGCCAGAGACAGCUCUUAAGACCUGCUUCUGAGUUUUUAAAGAGCAAGGAGAGAAGCUCAGAGCACUUUGAAGUCAGAUAAACAGCUUCCCCAGCCAGGGACGCUUCCUCCCAGGGAGGUUUAAAUUCUGUUGUUGCUGAUUUCCUCCAACCAGGUCAGGAGGCUGCCCAGCCCCCUCCCUGCGCAGGAAAGGUGCUUGUUAAACACAGUCGUAAUUUGUGGCUAAAUAUAGCCCAGUGUGUUCACACGGAAAGCAUAAUUCAGAGGGCUCGUUGCAUGAGGUUAUCAGUGAGGAGAGCCAUCUGGGUUAAAUUAAAGUGAUUUUCAUAAAGGGCAGAAGCAUCUAUUGCCAGGCUUCUCCCAGCCCUUUCACUAGUGAUAGUGCAGAAUUGGCACUAAAGAGGGUUGGGGAAGGUGGGAGACGCCCUGGACCCCGGGACUGAAGAGGCAGUUUCCUGGGCCUGAGCCUGUCCAGCCUCCCAGUUGUGCUGAGGCUGGAUGUGGCUUUCCUGCCAAGCCUGGGAAGGUUCUAGGGACCUGGCUUUGGGGUCCCCCCUACAUAAGGAGUGGUUGGGUUUUUUGUAAAGCUGAUCCACAUAGCCCUCAGCCUUGGCAGUAAGGACAUGCUCUCUACCCGCUCACCCCCACAAUCGUAGGACCCCAGGAGAGAAAGUUGGGAUAGUCAGGCAGACUGUCAAGGAUGGGUCAGGGCGACUGAAGUGACCUGCUCAGGAGCAACAAACUGGUCAGUCUGUGUAUUCCUUCCAGGUACAUCCCUAAAGCACAGCUGGCUUCAGGCCUCGAGGACACCUGCUUCCGCGGCUGGCUGUACCCGGCCUGGCUUUGAGGGACGUCUGGGGGCUGCAUGAUUACAGACCUCAGCUGUGUGCAGAUGUGCGCACACAGGUCAGGCGGCAGGGCACGCCUGGUCUCGCCACCCUAGGAAAGCGAUGCAGGCUGGUGUCCAGCUUUGCUGACCUCUAGACCCAGGGCUUGCAGGGUCUGCAGCCCCCAGCCUUCGCCAGGCCACCCUGUUCCUUUGAAACCCGCGUACUGGGAAAGCCAGCUUGGGCUAGACCCUGCCACCACCAUUGCUGUCCCACAGGCCAUGCCCUAGCCAUAGAACACUCUUGUCCCUCCCUGGGAAGAAACCAGUAAAGUGAGACACACAUUGCACCUUCUCCCUAAUUUCUGGGGAGAUGUGAGCCCCUGGCCUGGUUACCUGCAAUGUUUAUAAACCAAAUAAAACGUCACUCAGAGUUCCCACUGAGCAGCAGGGCCUAAGACAAAGCUCUGUCUCCUCAAGCCUGGAGGCGACUGGCCCACCUACUGCUGGCUCCUGGCCGAGUGUGGCUUGGCCACCACUUCUUUUGUUAACAGGACAGUUGAUCCAUUAAAUUAAAAAUCAGUCAAUACAUCCAUUUUUUUCCUGGCCUAUAUGAAUACAUAGUCCACCCUAAUUCUUAGGCAGCAAUAACAGCUGAGGUGCUAAGUCCCCCACCGAGGGAGGUUUCCACAAGUGGCCCUGCAGGGAGACUCCCCGGGGACAGCCUCUUCACCAGAAGCCGGGAUGGCCUGAGAAACCUGCCCUGGCGCCAGCACUGAGCACUGCGGUUCUCCGCUCCGUUUCCAGCACGCUCCGCUCCAGCAGGCGCUGAAAGGCGGUUGCAGAGCUGUGUGCCUUACCCUGCACGUCCCUGAGUCAGACCCAGUGCCCCUGGGAAUCCCACAGACGGCCAUUGGCUGCCUCCCUGUGCGCCGGAGCCUGGAAGCACAGGCACAACUGGGGGACAGGGUCGUCUUCCCACCGGGUUUUUAAGUAGUAGGGUUUUCAGACACAAACAGAAAAGGCCUCCUGAGGUGGCGGCAAAAAAUCAAAGCCUCCACAUCCAAGCCAGAAACAAAAGCUCUUUGGAAGCCACGGCGGGAGUGCAUUGCCGAUUCCGUGGAGCUAGCUGCCCGGACCCGCAUCCGGAGAAGGCUUGGGCAGGGCGGGCGUCCCCACCUGCUCGGCGCAGUCCCUGAGAGGAGGAUGGUGGCCGGAGGCACCAUAACCACAAAUUUAUGGCCUGGGUGACGCGCUUUCCUCUCCCACAAUGGGGCCUGGUGACAUUAAACAGAAAAUUGAUGAGGGGAGCGAAAUCUAAUCUCUUUCUCUUCCACGCCGGCUCUUGGAGCUUUUCGGGGAGGGCUUGGGGCGGGAGGGAGAAAGUGGCUGCCUGGAGUUCAGAGCUCCUGCCGGAGGCUUCUUUCCACCCGGGUUCUCAGCACAGACAGGCUGGGGGACCGCCACACUUAGCGGCCUACCUCCUCACAGCUGCAUUCCUGGCGGGAUCUCGGAGCCAGGCACCUGAGUGUAGUGUGCUUGGAGCCACCAGAACCGUGGAACACCUCCCCUCCCAAGCCCCAGCUCCCAACACCCCAUCCGAGGACAGCACCCCACCCCCACGGUGGCCACGGUCGCCCACUCCCCUCCCACGCAUGGUCGCCUUUUGACACAGAACUGUGCUCCUUAAAGGAGCCGUCCUUCUAGCCUUUGUCAGCGUGUCUAGGUCACUCCAAGAGGAAGCCAGGACAAUGCCCUAGGGGCUGGGCCUGAAGCCCACUGGGCCUACCUGCCCUGGGCCACGCGUUACCUCCAAGCUCGUGGUUCCCACUUGGGCUGUGCUGGCACAGCUGGCUGAGGUCUGGCUUUCAGUGAGAGCGGCCCUGGACUCCAGGGCAAGGCCUGAGCCAACUCAUGCCUUGCUUGCCUCCCUGACCUGUAUGAGAACGUGAGUGUCACAUUCUGCAUCCGCAAGCAGCCUCUAGACUUGUCAGGAGCCACCCUGGGAGAGGAGGAGGGUGCCCACUUCCCGGUCACCGAAUCUGCACCCAGGACCUGGAUAUGCCUUCCCUGGGUUCUUCCACAGAAGAGGACAGGGAUCAGCGGGCCCUGGGUCCUGAUGCUCAUGGGGUUCCCCCUUUGGCCUUGAGAAGAGCUCUCUGGGGGCAGCUCCCCUGAAGGCUGCAUCAAGCACUUGUCUUAGUCUGAGGGAGAGCUAAUGUACAGAAAGGGCUGGAAGCUGGUUCCAAAGGCCGGGCUGGCCCGAAACCAGCACGGUUACAUUUAACAGGCUGGAAGUGAACCUCUACUCUUGGGUUCAAAAAUCAGUUGUAAAAAUGCAGGCAGCUUCCCGCUGUGGACAGGAGGGGCCAACCGCAGCUGCUGCAGCAUUCAGGCAGGGCACACACACACACACACACACACACACAGGCCCAUUCCCAGACACAUGCUUGCGAGUACACACACAGUGCUCCCUUGCUCGCUCGCUCGCUCUCUCUCUCUCUCUCUCACACACACACACACACACACACACAUACGUAUGUGCCUAUUCCCAGUCCGCCCCCUUGUGAAUUUCCCUGAGUGCCUGCAGCUGAGCCUGGCCCCAAGGGUGGGGGCUCCCAGGAUGUCUGGCCCACUGGGGGAGGGGACACAGCUGGGGACAGCAGAGAAUGGGGUCCUUGUGCCGCUGUCAUCAGGCCCAGGGCUUGGAUGAACACGGCUUUGUCCGAACCCACACCCCGUGGGGACCACGGGACCAGAGGCUCAGUGGACCUCAGAACAAGAGCUGCCUGCUUUUGGCUUUUUGGCCUUGGGUAACUCUUGAGCGGAUACUGGCUGCACAGUCUUCCCAGCCGUGGGGGGGGGGGGCAGGCAGGAGAGAUGAAAAUCCAGCUUGAAGUCCAAGGUCUGAAACAAUAUUAAAAUGAAGCUUUCCCUUAAGAUGACCACAGCCAGCCGUGGAGAUAGAAGGUGUCCAGAUGAAGGAGCCUGGUCAGGGCCAGGGGGGUUACUCAGCCCCUGUCAGAUUUCAGGUGCAGCUGUCAACAGAAAACCAGUCUGAUCUGGCUAGAGUGUGGAGCAAGCAUACAUUGGAAUUCUUGGUUGUUCAGAGAAAGACCCCCCUUCCUGGCACUGAGCAGACAGGCCAGGCCUCAGUCUUGAAAAAGAACUCACUGCGGAGAGCCUCCCGCUGACUCCAGGGCAGCAAAUGCCACCUCAGGAAAUGUGCAGGCCUGGAAGUCAGUGACUUACUAAAGGGAGAUCUCAGCAAGGGCGAGGCCCCUCACCGUGAACCUGGGAGAGCAACAUGAAGAUAUGCCUGCUGAGACCAAAAAGGUGCCAGGUUCCCGCCAUCUGGGGACUUUGGUGCCUGCUCUUUCAAGCUCGGGCUGGCCUCUGUCAGAGCUUCAGAGGUGAGGAGCCGUCCCAGCCAGUACCUGCCGGAUGCUGUGGGCCUUGGCAAGGCCUGGGUCCCUUCCACAGGCCCCUGCACCCUGUGGUCGAACCCAUGUUCUGCCCCUCUGUCUCAUGCAGGCCCUGUGACUGGUGAUAGUUUGGCCCCAACCAUUCCCCAGGUGGGGACCCGGUAGGAUCUUUGUCAGAGGUGGUGGGAGGUGACCUGGUGUGGCCUGAAGUGUCUACAGAAUAGGCCGAUUGUCAAAACACCAGGAAGGACAGUCAGGUUUGGAAUGUAAGGAAGCAGCGAGGGACAGGUGAGAGAACAUAGGUCCCACGGCCACCCUCCGCUGGCCACGGGGCAGUGCCAGACGCAGCAAGGCCCCGUCCCUCUUGGCAAUGAUUUCAUGGGACCACUGGAGGCCCAGCACACAGGAAGGACGGAGCCAAGGCUCGCAUCCAUGAAGCCACUUGGGGACACAGGAGACAUGGACAGACGUGAGCUAAGGUCACAGCCCUGGGAACCCUGAGCAGUGAGCUGCACCUGUGUGGCCUGGACAUGGGCUCAGGAUCUAACACCGACUCGGGGAGCCCUGGGUAGUCCGGAGGAGAGCCCUGGGGUUGCAUUGAGUGGAGCAUUGUGCCACAAAGCAGACCCCAAAGUGCAAGUUGGGGCCUGGACGGGUUCUUCGCGCACUUGCUGGCCACCACAUCCCCUUUUAUGGCAGGAUAAGCAGGGUGCUGGGGAGGGCCGGGCUCUAGGGGAACAGGACUGGGCAUUGGGUGGGGCCGUCCCUCAGGAGAGGGAGAAGAUAAGUGUCCUGCCCUGGUGAUCCUGCCGUUCCCUCCUGCCUGAUAGCUCGCAUCAUUAGUAAACCUCAGGUCCGAAGUUCAAAGGCUGGGGUGGGAAAUUGGAAACAGAAAAGCGUCUCGUGUAGGGAAGCAGGUGGCCGGUCCCACACAGGGAAGGGCAGAGAGGCAUGUGUGAGUGGAGAGCAGGCCUGCCCCACCGUGUCUUCAGCUGCCUUGGCCACCCCACACCUGUGACCUUGCCCCUCCACCUUGGCCCCGGAAACAAGAGUGCGGCAGAGAUACUUCCUCUUCUGAAGCCCCUGUGACCCAGCCAUCCUGGAGGCAGCCCCUCAGUGUCUCCAGUCACACAGGGGGACGAGGCUGUGACUUGCUCGUGCACACAGUGUGCAGAGAGGCAGAGCCCAGGUCUGCAGGGAACUGGCUGGGAGAAGAGGGUUUCUCACUCAUCCUCCCUGUCUGAGCCAUCCACUGGGGUUAAAGGAACAUGGUAAUAGGCCUUCACCAACGUGGGGAGCCAUGCUCCUCAUGCUCUUUCUUGCAGCUUUUUUCUUGGUAAGAACAACCAUCCUGCCAGGCGUGGUGGCACACGCCUUUUGUCCCAGCACUGAGAGACAGAGGCAGGCAGAUCUUUGAGUACCAGGCCAGCCUGGUCUAUAAAGCAAGUUCCAGGACUGCCAGGGCUACAUAGAAAACCCUGCCUCAAACAAAGAAACAAACAAGAACCAUCAUCUUGUCUCCUUCUGGGGCAUGACCCCUCCUCUGUGGUCAGGCGCUUGCCUGCUUCCCAGCUCCUGGCCAGACUUGGCCCUCUGACCACCAGUGUCUAAGGCUCUUUAGAGCCAUAGGCAGCAUUAGUAGGGGUACAGCUGUCUGAGACUCCUGCUCAGCAGCGAGAGAAAGGCUGGAAUUAUUGCUGUUAUUUUGAGGCUGGUUCUCACACUAUAACUCAGACCAGCCUCCAAUCUAAGCAAUUCUCCUACCUUUGCCAAAGGCCUAGGAAUGCCCAGAGCUAGGGGUGUGAGAGCGUGCAUGGGGGGGGGCGUGGGGGCGAUGGCCAUUGGUCAAGAUUGGCUGGCCGUCUCAAGUUUGAGGGGUUUCAGGUAGGCUGGGGAGCCCUGGAGGUUGGGACAGGAACCGAUGGACAAAAUUGUGGGGGGGGUGCCUCUACAUGCUGGGAUCACAGGCAUGCGCUUUGGAGGCUCCACUAGUGAGUUAAGUGGUGCCCCUCCCACUAAAAAAAUAAUAAAGGAGAGAAAGAAAAGCCAGAGGCAGAGGUCAUUGGAGCCAGUGCCUGGCUUUAAGUGCAAAAGGGUCUUUUCAUAGGUAUAUGAUCUAAGUAUAUGGAUCUGGUGAUGACGGCACUGUGGACUUGAGAGGAGGUAAGGGGGAAACGUGCCGGGUCCUGGGACAAAGGGCGUGGCCGUGUGUCCCUGACCGAGAUGGGGCUGUGGGUUUACCCCACGCAGGGAGCGUCCAGCAGCUGGUUAGCCACCGUGGAGGCCUCUAGACCUGCUCCAGCGGGUGGGAGGGUGGGAGUCAGUCCAGGCAAGGUCUGGAAGGUGUGAGCAGUUCCAGCCGGCUCCUCCCCGCUGAAAGGGUACGGGGCAGCCUCCUUCCACACAUUUCCACAAGUCAGCCUUUGGCUUGGGUGAACGCUGCAUUUUCUGUGGAAAGCCGUCUUGAGGACACGUGCCCGCUCGGUGCCUUCGUCAGGGGCCCUCCACUCAGGCAGCCGGUAGACAGGGUGUCACUCUUCUGGGCUACAAAGAUGGCGGCUGAGGCUCGGCUGUAGACGGCAGAGGGCGCUGGCCAGGUUCCACUCGACCUUGCCGGCGCGGCCCCUACUCUCCCUGCUCUUGAAUUACCACCUCUCGGUGGGCAUGCUGGCCUCCCCUCGUGACCCAGUUCCUGGGAGGCUGAUACAACGGGGCAUAGAUUCAAGGCCAGCUUAGCCCAUUAAAACAAGUUCCAGCCAGGGCUGUGGGACUCUGGUGUGAGCCUCUGCCUCCGGCAGAGAACCCCCACCCUUUUCUUGCCUGGGUGAAACGAGACACCGACAGUGACUUUCCUUUUGGUUCUGGAUAGAAGUCCAGAGCCUGAUGGGCUUCCAGAAGCUGGCGAUCAGAGCGGCCUUCCGAGGCCCUUCCCACCGCCUCCUGUCCACCGCAGGGUGUAGAGAAACUGACUUCUGUGAACAUGUGGAGGAUUACGAGGUCCAAAGAGGAAGUGUCUUCCUCCCCGCCGCACGGCCUGUGCGGGACGCAGGCUUUGCUUUUGCUUCCUUCAUAGCUGUGCGUGGGGCUGGAGGCCCGGCCAAGCCAUGCAAUGUCUGGCCUCAAGCCCCAGCCUUGACAGCCUGAUGACUGUGGGAUAAGCUGCAUCUAUUUAAUUAACUGAUAUUUACUCAUUUACAUUGGUAUUGAUUAGUUUUGUACAGUUUUAUAUGUACACACAUAUUCUGGUCACUCCCUCCUUUAUGCCAUCUUUUAUAUCCCUGUCAGCCCUUCCCCCCAUCCCUACCAGUCCAGUUUGAGAUAGGGUUUCCUGGUGUAAGCCAGGCUGGCCUUCAGUUCACAGACAUCCUCCUGCCUCUGCCUUUGGAAUUAAAGACACGCACCAACACACCUGCCAUGUUUAAUUUUUGAAGAAGGUUUCCAUGUACUACAGACUGGCCUCAAACUUGCUACAUAACUGAGGAUGGCCUUGAACUUCUGACCUUCCUGCUUCUCCCUCCCAGGCAGGCGUGUGCCACACACACUGUUUAUGUAGUCUUGGGGCUGAACCGGUGUUGGAGUACAUGCAGGCAAGCCCUCUGCCACUUCAUCAGCUCCUAUAAAUAAACUAUGUAGCCUGAACCCUGCAUAGGCCAGGCUGACCUGGAACUGGCUGUGUAGCCCAGGCUGGCCCAGAACCUGCCUCAGUCUCCCACAUGUUGAGACUACAGAGGUGAGCCGCCAUGACCAGCUACCAGUACUGCGCGUUGGCAGCGUCUGGUGGAAGCACAGCUCCUAGCCGCACUUCUACCUCUGGAGGAGGUUGUGGGGUUCUGAACCCCUGGAAGGGAAGUGGGGGUGCUGUUGACAGAGAAUCAGAGCCCAGGGGCCUGGCAGAGCGAACGCGUGACCAGAGGCAGCCCUGCUCUGCGGAGAGAGGGUUGAAGGAGGGAAGAGGAAGCCCUGGAUCUGAGGCGGGCUGGGAGCGGCCAGCUUCCAGCCGAGGAAAGCAAAGAUCCCACGCCCUCCUGAAACCCCGAGAGUGUGGAGGAACGUCCCUGGGGCUUCCAGGAGGACCCAAUCCUCCGCACAAAUGGACUCGGGCUUUCAGCGCCCGCAGCGCUGAGGCGGUAAAUGUGUCCUGUGGGGCUGGAGCUGGUAAGUUCAUUCUUAUUUGGUCACAUAAGCUUUUGUUUGACUUCUGGAUUACCCUGGGGUUCUCUGGACAGACAUGACUAACAGGAGCUGUGCCCACACCUGUGUUGAUGUCCACACAAAGAGGCUUGUUAACAGGACCUGUCCUGUGCGAUUACAGAGUCGGUAAGUUCGGUGGCACCGCGAAGCGGAUGGUGCCCUGUCUCCCAGCUCGGGGAGACUGGCAGGACCAGCAUCUUUGUCCUGCGUGCUUCUUUCGUCAACUGACUGGAUGAGGCCCACCCCACCAGGAAGGGCGGGCUUCUGCGCUCAGUCCACACGGACAUACCCUCGAAGGCACAGCCGGAGUCAGUGUCGGCCCAGUCCAGCUAACACAGAAGGUGAGCCAUCGCCUAGUGACUGUGCUAGGAGUGGAAGCCGGGUGCCUGCCAGCCAUCGGAAUUUGUAGAAGUUGCCAAAUGCCACCUGGCAGUGGCCACCCUGCUUCGUGCUCUCACUGUUUCCUGGCUGCGAUGACUCAGAACUGUCUUUCUUAGCUUUUCUAGAGAGGCUGGCCAUUUGCUCACCUGCAUAUGAGCCAUUUUGGUGCUUUUGGGGCCUGAAAAAUGGCUGCUUUGUGGUUUUCUUACUGAUUUGUAAGAGUUUUUGGGCUGGGUGUGGUGAUGCACGCCUUUGAUCCCAGCACUCAGGGAGGCAGGGGCUAGGGGGUUGCUGUGAGUUCAAGGCCAGCCUGGUGUACAAAGCAAGUCCAGGACAGCCCUGUCUUUAAAAAAGAGAAACCCUGUCUUUAAAAAAAAAAGAUAAAAAAAAGAUUCCAUACCCAAUGUAUGGAUGCAA